rnacentral:rRNA from 1 species
ACAGCAGUAGCCGCGGUAAUACAGAGGGUGCGAGCGUUAAUCGGAUUUACUGGGCGUAAAGCGUGCGUAGGCGGCUUCUUAAGUCGGAUGUGAAAUCCCUGAGCUUAACUUAGGAAUUGCAUUCGAUACUGGGAAGCUAGAGUAUGGGAGAGGAUGGUAGAAUUCCAGGUGUAGCGGUGAAAUGCGUAGAGAUCUGGAGGAAUACCGAUGGCGAAGUCAGCCAUCUGGCCUAAUACUGACGCUGAGGUACGAAAGCAUAAGGAGCAAACAGGAUUAGAUACCCCCGUAGUCCCUGUCUCUUAUAC